rnacentral:rRNA from 1 species
CCUACGGGUGGCUGCAGUGGGGAAUAUUGGACAAUGGGGGGAACCCUGAUCCAGCCAUGCCGCGUGUGUGAAGAAGGCCCUCGGGUUGUAAAGCACUUUCAGUGAGGAAGAACGCCUGGUGGUUAAUACCCAUCAGGAAAGACAUCACUCACAGAAGAAGCACCGGCUAACUCCGUGCCAGCAGCCGCGGUAAUACGGAGGGUGCCAGCGUUAAUCGGAAUUACUGGGCGUAAAGCGCGCGUAGGUGGCUUGAUAAGCCGGUUGUGAAAGCCCCGGGCUCAACCUGGGAACGGCAUCCGGAACUGUCAAGCUAGAGUGCAGGAGAGGAAGGUAGAAUUCCCGGUGUAGCGGUGAAAUGCGUAGAGAUCGGGAGGAAUACCAGUGGCGAAGGCGGCCUUCUGGACUGACACUGACACUGAGGUGCGAAAGCGUGGGUAGCAAACAGGAUUAGAUACCCUUGUAGUC